CAGGAAAGACAUCACUCGCAGAAGAAGCACCGGCUAACUCCGUGCCAGCAGCCGCGGUAAUACGGAGGGUGCAAGCGUUAAUCGGAAUUACUGGGCGUAAAGCGCGCGUAGGUGGCUUGAUAAGCCGGUUGUGAAAGCCCCGGGCUCAACCUGGGAACGGCAUCCGGAACUGUCAGGCUAGAGUGCAGGAGAGGAAGGUAGAAUUCCCGGUGUAGCGGUGAAAUGCGUAGAGAUCGGGAGGAAUACCAGUGGCGAAGGCGGCCUUCUGGACUGACACUGACACUGAGGUGCGAAAGCGUGGGUAGCAAACAGGAUUAGAUACCCUGGUAGUCCACGCCGUAAACGAUGUCGACCAGCCGUUGGGUGCCUAGCGCACUUUGUGGCGAAGUUAACGCGAUAAGUCGACCGCCUGGGGAGUACGGCCGCAAGGUUAAAACUCAAAUGAAUUGACGGGGGCCCGCACAAGCGGUGGAGCAUGUGGUUUAAUUCGAUGCAACGCGAAGAACCUUACCUACCCUUGACAUCCUGCGAAGCCGGAAGAGAUUCUGGUGUGCCUUCGGGAGCGCAGAGACAGGUGCUGCAUGGCUGUCGUCAGCUCGUGUUGUGAAAUGUUGGGUUAAGUCCCGUAACGAGCGCAACCCUUGUCCUUAUUUGCCAGC
rnacentral:rRNA from 1 species